AUUGAACGCUAGCGGGAUGCCUUACACAUGCAAGUCGAACGGAGUGGCGAACGGGUGAGUAAUGUAUCGGAACGUGCCCAGUAGCGGGGGAUAACUACGCGAAAGCGUAGCUAAUACCGCAUACCAUUGGAGCGGCCGAUAUCGGAUAAGCCAGUUGGUGGGGUAACGGCUCACCAAGUCGACGAUCCGUAGCUGGUUUGAGAGGACGACCGGCCACACUGGGACUGAGAAACGGCCCGGACUCCUACGGGAGGCAGCAGUGGGGAGUUGUGGACAAUGGGGGAAACCCUGAUCCGGCCAUCCCGCGUGUGCGAUGAAGGCCUUCGGGUUGUAAAGCACUUUUGGCAGGAAGGCGGUACCUGCAGAAUAAGCACCGGCUAACUACGUGCCAGCAGCCGCGGUAAUUC
rnacentral:rRNA from 1 species